rnacentral:rRNA from 1 species
AUUGAACGCUGGCGGCAGGCCUAACACAUGCAAGUCGAACGAGUGGCGGACGGGUGAGUAAUGUCUGGGAAACUGCCUGAUGGAGGGGGAUAACUACUGGAAACGGUAGCUAAUACCGCAUACCAUCAGAUGUGCCCAGAUGGGAUUAGCUUGUUGGUGGGGUAACGGCUCACCAAGGCGACGAUCCCUAGCGGGUCUGAGAGGAUGAACGUCCACACUGGAACUGAGACACGGUCCAGACUCCGACGGUCGGCAGCAGUGGGGAAUAUUGCACAAUGGGCGCAAGCCUGAUGCAGCCAUGCCGCGUGUAUGAAGUAGGCCGUCGGGUUGUAAAGUACGUUAAGCUGGGAGGCGUUACCCGCAGAAGAAGCACCGGCUAACUCCGUGCCAGCAGCCGCGGUAAUUC